rnacentral:rRNA from 1 species
GGACUACCCGGGUAUCUAAUCCUGUUUGCUCCCCUAGCUUUCGUUCCUCAGUGUCAGUUGCGAUCCAGCCAGCCGCCUUCGCCACGGGUGUUCCUGCAGAUAUCUACGCAUUUCACCGCUACACCUGCAAUUCCACUGGCCUCUCUCGCACUCGAGCACGGCAGUUUUGAAAGCAGCCUCUAGGUUAAGCCUAGAGAUUUCACUCCCAACUUGCCGCACCACCUACGAACCCUUUACGCCCAGUAAUUCCGAGCAACGCUGGCCCCCUACGUAUUACCGCGGCGGCUGGCAC